AACGAACGCUGGCGGCAUGCCUAACACAUGCAAGUCGAACGAGAACUUCGGGCAUCUUGGCGCUCGGCUGCGUAACGCGUGGGAACCUGCCCUUAGGUUCGGAAUAACUCCCUGAAAGGGGUGCUCAUCCCGGAUAGUUUCUUCGUACCAAAGAUCUAUCGCCUUUGGAUGGGCGCGCGUGGGGUUAGCUUGUUGGUAGGGUAAAAGCCUAUCAAGGCGACGAUCCAUAGCUGGUCUGAGAGGAUGAUCAGCCACACUGGGACUGAGACGCGGCCCAGACUACUACGGGAGGGAGCAGUGGGGAAUAUUGGACAAUGGGCGAAAGCCUGAUCCAGCAAUGCCGGGUGAGUGAUGAAGGCCUUAGGGUUGGAAAGCUCUUUUACCCGGGAUGAUAAUGACAGUACCGGGAGAAUAAGCACCGGCUAACUCCGUG
rnacentral:rRNA from 1 species